AAGGGAGACCUAAUUCGGGUAUAAGACGAAAAAAUAGUAGUCGAAACCAAGAAUCAAUCCCAAAAGGUCGGAACGAGGUAUGUGGCUUUCAAACUAGGUUCUGGGUUCACAAAAGACCUGAAUCAGGAACAAGGGCUAUUAGCUCAGGUGGUUAGAGCGCACCCCUGAUAAGGGUGAGGUCCCUGGUUCGAGUCCAGGAUGGCCCACCUGCACAGGUGGCAAAAGCAAAGAAGCGAGGAAUCAGCACCUUAUCUUACUUAUAUAGUAAGAGAGAAUGCUGGCUCUGAGUAAAGAGUCCAGAGGAACCUUGAAAACUGCAUAGAGCUAGGUGAAAAAGCCAAAAAAGAAGACCGCAA
rnacentral:tRNA from 1 species